GGCGCCGCUGGGAAGCUGCCAAGCAGACGGCAGGACCCGGCCCCGCUGCCUCCGGGCGGCUCCCGGAAGCCGGGCGACUUCCCUGGCACACAGUCACCUGGCGGUGGACUCCCAGAGCAGACCUGGACGUGCAGUGCACUGACAUGGAUGGUACUCUACGUCCUGGCCUUCAAUCUGCUUUUCUCCACGUAUCUUUUCCUGUGCUGGCCACGUAGUCCUACUUCCCCUGUAAACUGAGGAAAACGGCAUCCAGAUUUGAUGGGGAUGUUAUACGGAUUAAAUAAGAUCUUCGUUCAGCGCUUCAACUGGGACAUGGCACAUAAUUAAAAACUUCAGUAAAUAUUAUCAGCUGCCCAAUAUUCUAUGGCACAUACAUGGCAUGAGCUACUCAGCAAACGCCCUCGUGGUAGAAGGUUCCGUUGUUUCCAAUUCUCACUAUCAUAAACAACACCACAAUAA